AUUUGUCUGGUUAAUUCCGAUAACGAACGAGACCUUAACCUGCUAACUAGAUCCAAUUAUCCGAUUUUUGCGAUCUUCUUAGAGGGACUAUGUAAUAAAAAUACAUGGAAGUUUGAAGCAAUAACAGGUCAGUGAUGCCCUUAUAUGUCCUGGGCUGCACGCGUGCUACACUGAUGCAUACAACAAGUGCCUAACCAGACAUGGUAUGGUAAUCUCUAAUAUGCAUCGUGAUGGGGAUAGAUCUUUGCAAUUAUAGAUCUUGAACGAGGAAUUCCUAGUAAGUGCAAGUCAUCAUCUUGCAUUGAUUAUGUCCCUGCCCUUUGUACACACCGCCCGUCGCUCCUACCGAUACCGGGUGAUCCGGUGAACCUUUUGGACUCAUUUGGGAAAGAUAAGUAAACCAUAUCACCUAGAGGAAGGAGAAGUCGUAACAAGGUUUCCGUAGGUGAACCUGCRGAAGGAUCA
rnacentral:rRNA from 1 species